rnacentral:rRNA from 1 species
GAGUGAAGAGGGAUCAGCCCAAAUUUGUAAUCUGGCUCUUUCAGAGUCUGAGUUGUAAUUUCAAGAACUGUUUUCUGCUCUGGACCAUGUACAAGUCUGUUGAAAUGCAGCAUCAUUGAGGGUGAGAAUCCUGUUUAUGAUAUGGACUACCAGUGCUCUAUGAUACAGUCUCUAAGAGUCGAGUUGUUUGGGAAUGCAGCUCAAAGUGGGUGGUAAAUUCCAUCUAAGGCUAAAUAUUGGUGAGAGACCGAUAGCAAACAAGUACCGUGAGGGAAAGAUGAAAAGAACUUUGGAAAGAGAGUUAACAGUACGUGAAAUUGUUAAAAGGGAAACAGUUGAAGUUAGACUUGUUGUUGUUGGUUCAGCUCUUUAAGGGUGUUUUCUGAUAAUUAACAAACCAACAUCAAUCUUUGGGUGUUGGAUAAGGGUCAUUGAAAUGUAGCAGUCUUGGCUGUGUUAUAGUCAUUGACUUGGAUACAAUGCCUAGGAUUGAGGAU